UACGAAGGGGGGCUAGCGUUGCUCGGAAUCACUGGGCGUAAAGCGCACGUAGGCGGAUUGUUAAGUCAGGGGUGAAAUCCUGGAGCUCAACUCCAGAACUGCCUUUGAUACUGGCGAUCUCGAGUCCGGGAGAGGUGAGUGGAACUGCGAGUGUAGAGGUGAAAUUCGUAGAUAUUCGCAAGAACACCAGUGGCGAAGGCGGCUCACUGGCCCGGGUACUGACGCUGAGGUGCGAAAGCGUGGGGAGCAAACAGGG
rnacentral:rRNA from 1 species